GGUACCAUAGUUCAUUGGUAGAACAUCUGCUUUGCAUGCACAGGAACACAUGAAAUUGCUUCGUACUGAGUUAGGCCAUUGGUCCAUCUAGUUUAGUAUUGCCCACACUAACUGGCAGCAGCUCUCCAGUGUUUCAGAAAGGGGAUAUUUCUGGAGAUACCAAGGAUUGAACCUAGGACCUUCUGCAUGCAAGGCAGAUGCUCUUCCAUCGCCCUUCAUUUCUUCUGCAUGGAUGUAGAAGUUUGCAGGUUCGAUCCCUGGUAUCU